CUGAAUGGACCCCCGGGCAUUCACUAAGUGAGUCUCUGUCUGACCCCCACCCAGGAGGGAGAGGAGGAACUGACUUCAGGUACCAUUAGACUUGAAAUUAACCCAGUGUGGGUAACAACUGACAAUUAGCCAGUUCCAACCCUUCUCCCUUCCUGCUCUCUUCUCCCAACUAAAUCUAAGCAGUUCUUGACGGCAAUAACUUCGCUUUUUAAAGGCCUGUUUAUGAAGCCAGGACUUGGAGUUGGGAGGAGAGAGGGUCCUCCCUAGCUUCUGUUAGCCUCAGUUUCAUCUUCUGAAAAUAAUCCACUUAGACUAGAGGAUCUCCAAAGUCCCUGUAGCUUUGGUCUACUUUUUUUAAAACACAGCAUUAAUUCUGUUUCCCUAUUUCCAAAGAUGCUCAAACUUCUUUAGAAAGCCCAUUUUACCAUCUUUAGUUUGUAUGUUCUUCUUUUACUCCUUGCAGGAAUAGCAGGCUCUGGAUUCAGACUACAUGGGAUGAAAUUCUUGCAUCACGAAUUACUACCUAUGAGAUCUUAAGCCAGUUUCUUAAACUUUCUAAGCUUCAGUUUCCUCAUCUGAAGAGAAAAGGAACAGCAAUAAUGGUUAUGUAUAUUUCCCAGGCUUGCUGUGAAAAUUACAGGAGAAAAUCCAUAUGCAACACCUUGUGUUCUUUCCUUUUCUUCUUCCCCUUCCCUCCUCCUCUUUUUCUCUUCUCCUUCCUCCCCAACCUUCCUUGCCUCCUCUCUACUCUGCCCACCACCUCCCUUUCCCACCACUUUCCUCACUUCUUUCUCUUUCUCUCAUACUCUGUUGUACAGCUUGGGUACAACAGACUCUAGAAGAGGUCAGUAGCCAGAUCUUGGGUAGGAAUAUUUUCCCUUCCACUUCCUCUACCUCCCACCAUGGCCUGUGAGACAAGCCCAGAGGCCCCAUGUACACAAUACAAGUACACUUUGCCAGGUUCCCCAGGUAGCAGAAGAGGACCCCAAAUGAAUGGAGCUGCAUGGAACAGAAGUUCCAGGAGGAGGCUAUGGCUCUGGCUGCCACCACCGGUUGAGCUGGUCAGCAGGAAGUUUGACGUGCCAGAAAAACAAGGGAGGGAACAAGAAAGGCAUUUUUCCAACUUAUCCAGAUGCCUCGGAGCCUAGAGUUGAUUGGCUGAAGAGAACUGAUUUGAGUGAAGAAACAGAGGCAAAGGGAGCAUAAGCAAUUUUCCAAAGGCCAUACAACAUGUAAGUGGCUGAGCCAAGACUGAAAUCACCAGGUUCUUAACCACUAGGCCAUAUUGCAUUGGAGUGUUGCCUCCUGGAGUAAGACUAGGCUAAAAGCUUCAUAGAAACCUAAAGGAGUUAGAGAAGGAAGAUCUCUCAAUGGAAAUGCUAAGAAGAGACACAAGGAAAGACACAUCACUAAGGAGAGACCCAAGGAAAAUGGCUCUAUGACUACAGUCCAUUUAAAGAAUGAGGGCGUUCCUUCUACCAAGUUACAGGUGGAGAUGUGUUUACCUGCUGGAUACCAAUGCUUCUAGCAUCAGGGAGAAGUUGAGCCCUGGAGGAAACAUUGCCUCUAAGUUUGUGUUCUGGUGCUACAUACUGCAAAGCAAAGUAUCUACAACAACUGCAAUAAGCCACCCUGAUCAUUCUUCAACCUAAAGAUUUGCAACUCAUCCAAGUUCAACUGGUUGAAAGAGCCUGCCUCCUCACAGCAGUGCCUGAUUGACACUAUGAACUGAAAUACUAAAGGCACUUCUUCUUUCAGGAUAACUGAUUAAAUGUUCUGGCUGGUAAAGCAGGUCAUCACUCAACUGUUGUGGCUUUGGCAAGAUGCCACCAAAGCAGCCCAUCAUGGUUGGCAGAGAUGUAAAGGCCCCACAUAUUACAGAACACCCUUUGAUAUGCAGACUAAUUAAUAGAAGACCUAAGCCUUUCAAGGGACUUCUAUACCAUAGGAUGUUAGGAGACAUCAAGAACACAAAUGAAACUAAGAUUUUCAUACAGGGUUCAGGUUUUGUUACUUCAGAUCUAUAAUCUAAAGUUCUGUAAUCAUCACAUCACUCCAAGAACAAAAUUUGAUAGGCAAAAUUCUUCACACUCAUUUCAUGGAGAACCUUGAGGGUCCAGAGUGAGGCUUGAUGGCAAGCAGGAGCUCCCUGUCCCCUGUCUCCACCCAUGCAACCCCUAGCUCCCCCAUUGUUUUCACUCUAGAUUUGUGAAGUAUAACAACCUUAAAAUCUUAAGAUUUAAUCUUUAAAUAUUAAGAGAUUUGGGUUUCUGUAUCAACAAUCUUUAAAUAUUAAGAGAUUUUUCCGAAGAUUAAUGACUUUCCUAGAGUUGGCCUACAAAUUCACCACCUCAACUGGAUGACUUGCUUUGGAAUAAAUUUCUAACACCGCAAGUGAAUUGAAUAUUUUCUUCCUUUUUUAUGUAAUCUAAUAUAGUACAUUUUUAAAAAUUUAUAGGAUGUCCAGACACUUAUAGCUUAUCAUUCUAUGAUUCAAAAGAAUUUGGUAUAAUUGCAUUGAUAAGCUUACUGCCCUGGGCACCAAAGUAACCUAGAAUAUGGAGAAGUAGCUUUUGGUGACAUGCAUCUAUUUAUAUCUCUAGCAUUUACUAAUUAAUUAAUUUGUUUAACAAAUACACAUUCAGUACCAUUAUAUGUUUGGCAUUGUCAUAGAUGUUAGAAAAUCAAAUAUAAAAAAGAGGUAAUUUCUUCACAACACACGGAAAUAAGAGUAUCUCUAGGAAUUGUCUCUAGUUGAAAUUGUUUUCUCCUACCCACCUCUACGAUUCAUCAAUUUAGCUUUCCUUCACUGUAGUGACAGGUGUUUUAAUCUCACCUAACAAUAUGCCUGAUUAAGCUUCAACAUACACAGAGAGAGGCCUGAAAAACAUAACUUGGUCUCUAUGUCUAAGUUUAUGUUGUUAGUAAUAGUUAUAAGAGCCACAGCGAUGGCACCAUGGCGUUACCUUCUCUGAAGGCUUUCCCAGCUUUCCUAGCAAAGCUCUUUUCUCUUCCCUCUGGUUAAAAAAUAAAUAAAAAAAAAAUAAAGGUUUUUCCUUUAUUGUUAUUCUUAUGUGUCUGAUUUUAUCACAUUUAUUGUUUUGUUUUCUGAUUGUAUAAGUCAUACAUGCUCAUUUAGAAAACUUGGAAACUAUGGAAAAAGAGAAAUAAAAAAUAAAAUCCAC
rnacentral:lncRNA from 1 species